rnacentral:rRNA from 1 species
CCAGCAGCCGCGGUAAUUCCAGCUCCGCAAGUGUAUUCCUAUACUGUUGCGUUUAAGUAGCUCGUAGUUGGAUCUGCGUGUUUAGCGCGUGGUGUCACUUUUUGUGACUACUGCAGUGCGACACAAAGCGCCGAACACUCUUAAGAGUGGUUGGCCAGUUUACUUUGAACAAAUCAGAGUGCUCAAAACGGGCGUUUCGCUCGAAUGUUCUUGCAUGGAAUAAUGGAAUAGGACCGCGCGUUCUAUUUUGUUGGUUUUCGGGACGCGGGUAAUGAUUAAGAGGGACAGACGGGGGCAUUUGUACUGCGACGUGAGAGGUGAAAUUCUUGGAUCGUCGCAAGACA